GACGAACGCUGGCGGCGUGCCUAAUACAUGCAAGUCGAGCGAAGUGGAGAGAGCUUGCUCUCAAAGCUUAGCGGCGGACGGGUGAGUAACACGUGGGUAACCUGCCUGACAGACUGGGACAACUCCUGGAAACGGGUGCUAAUACCGGAUACGCUCUUGAACCGCAUGGUUCGAGAGGGAAAGAAGCUAUCGCUUCACUGUCAGAUGGACCCGCGGCGCAUUAGCUAGUUGGUGAGGUAACGGCUCACCAAGGCGACGAUGCGUAGCCGACCUGAGAGGGUGAUCGGCCACACUGGGACUGAGACACGGCCCAGACUCCUACGGGAGGCAGCAGUAGGGAAUCUUCCGCAAUGGGCGAAAGCCUGACGGAGCAACGCCGCGUGAAUGAUGAAGGCCUUCGGGUUGUAAAAUUCUGUCUUCUGUGAAGAACAAGCCUGUGAGUGGAAAGCUCAGGCCUUGACGGUAACAGAGGAGGAAGCCCCGGCUAACUACGUGCCAGCAGCCGCCGUAAAAC
rnacentral:rRNA from 1 species